rnacentral:rRNA from 1 species
AGCGAACGCUGGCGGCAGGCCUAACACAUGCAAGUCGAGCGCCCGUAGCAAUACGGGAGCGGCAGACGGGAUAGUAACACGUGGGAACGUACCCUUCAGUUCGGAACAACCCAGGGAAACUUGGGCUAAUACCGAAUACGUCCGUAAGGAGAAAGAUUUAUCGCUGAAGGAUCGGCCCGCGUCUGAUUAGCUAGUUGGUGGGGUAAUGGCCCACCAAGGCGACGAUCAGUAGCUGGUCUGAGAGGAUGAUCAGCAUCACUGGGACUGAGACACGGCCCAGACUCCUACGGGAGGCAGCAGUGGGGAAUAUUGGACAAUGGGCGCAAGCCUGAUCCAGCCAUGCCGCGUGGAUGAUGAAGGCCCUAGGGUUGUAAAGUCCUUUCGGCGGGGAAGAUAAUGACGGUACCCGCAGAAGAAGCCCCGGCUAACUUCGUGCCAGCAGCCGCCGU